CCGAUCCAGGAUGAUGAACUCAUCUCCUAUAUCCUUCAUGGGCUGGAUCAGGAUUAUCAGCCCCUGGUCUCGACCCUCGAUG
rnacentral:snoRNA from 1 species